rnacentral:rRNA from 1 species
AACGAACGCUGGCGGCAUGCCUAACACAUGCAAGUCGAACGAGACCUUCGGGUCUAGUGGCGCACGGGUGCGUAACGCGUGGGAACCUGCCCUUAGGUUCGGAAUAACUCCCCGAAAGGGGUGCUAAUACCGGAUAAUGUCUUCGGACCAAAGAUUUAUCGCCUUUGGAUGGGCCCGCGUUGGAUUAGCUAGUUGGUAGGGUAAAAGCCUACCAAGGCGACGAUCCAUAGCUGGUCUGAGAGGAUGAUCAGCCACACUGGGACUGAGACACGGCCCAGACUCCUACGGGAAGCAGCAGUGGGGAAUAUUGGACAAUGGGCGAAAGCCUGAUCCAGCAAUGCCGCGUGAGUGAUGAAGGCCUUAGGGUUGUAAAGCUCUUUUACCCGGGAUGAUAAUGACAGUACCGGGAGAAUAAACUCCGGCUAACUCCGUG